rnacentral:rRNA from 1 species
GCCCAAGAGAUCGGGAUAACACCUGGAAACAGAUGCUAAUACCGGAUAACAACAGAUGAUGCCUAUCAACUGUUUAAAAGAUGGUUCUGCUAUCACUCUUGGAUGGACCUGCGGUGCAUUAGCUAGUUGGUAGGGUAACGGCCUACCAAGGCGAUGAUGCAUAGCCGAGUUGAGAGACUGAUCGGCCACAUUGGGACUGAGACACGGCCCAAACUCCUACGGGAGGCAGCAGCA